GGUCCUGACCAGACCGCUGGCAGUGAGGACGGAGGAAAGUGGACGGUGUGUGAGGAAUGAGGCUGUGGAAGAGAGAGAAAUGGAUGCUUGGUUAGAGGCAGGGUGAAGAGGAAGAAUGGCGAAUGGCGAAGGGCUCACAGAUUUCUUGAUAGACCAAGAUAGGAAACACGGGGAGGGAGGGCUGGCAGGCAGGCAAGGAGUCCCGUUUGGAUUUGUUGAGUUAAGAUAUCUGGAGAUAUCUAGGAGAAGAUACACAAUUCUCAGCUGGAGCUCAGAGACAUAAGCCAGUGAGUUCAGUCAUCACCAAAUGGUGUAUGAUGUGGGGGACACAAGAUUGCUCCAUUUGCUAGCAUGAGAACCCCAUCUUUUAAAGGCUGACAGAACAAGAAGGUUCAAAAGAUUCUGAGAUGGAGAGAGUGCAACAUGAGACAAGACAAAAGUGACGGAACCAGGAAGAAAGUCAACGUUAGCAGAUGGGAGAAGAAAGAUGAGUCAGCACAAGAAACUAGGAAGGAGUGGCCAGAGAGAUUAGCAGGAAACCAAGAGCGAGUGACGGUAACCAAAAUCCAGGAAACAGAGCACUUAACCAGAAGGGUGGUUCUGAGACUUGAGAACAAUCAGGAAGAAUCGGGACUGAGGAUUGUCAUCAGUUUCUUCGUCUGUAUAACGGGAUGAACGUCAGAACCAGCCCACGGGGCCGCCGCCAGGAGUAAUCCAGAUAAUACAAGCGAAAGUCUAGAACUGAGCUGGAAAUGCUAGGUGAAUACAGAAAGCUGCACCCAGUGGAAGUAAGCACAAAGGAAUAUACACAACGCACACACCCACACGCCUCCACCACCCGCCGGCCACCUCCACUCACGAAGUGUAGGAGCCAUCCCAUACACAUCUGCUGACACGCUUUCCUUCCGACGCCAGAUGACACUGUUUCCACCUCUUCAGAAUGACUCACCAGCUACAGUCCUUCGGAGCACGCUGCCACAAGCAAACCUCAGGUCUUUUUCCAGGUAAAGUGCCAUGUUCAAAGUAGUUUUGAUGUAUUUCUUAACCACUUAACCUGGGAAAAACCAUGCUGGCAUUUUUCCUAGGUUCCUGUCUUUUUUUCAUGUGUCACUGAGGCAGGUUUUGAGUGAGUGUCCCAACCCCAUCUGCCUGGGAAGCCCUGUGAUUUUCCUUACGUGAUUUUGCACAGCGCAGCGAUCUUCAGGCAUAUGUCAAUUACAGCAGAACUGACCAUUUGAUCGCCACUAAGUUUUGUAGACUCUCAAAAUAUUUUGAUUCUGUUAUCCCUAAAUAUUUGAUGCAUCUCAUCAUCAUGUUAUGCAUGAAUUUGGUGAGAAUUUUACACUAAAUAUCUGAAUAUCAGCAAGGGGAGAGGCUAUGUUCUGGAGGAUAGCCUUACAAAGAUGAAAAAGGCAUUUCCUGCAGGAUAAAGUGAACUCAGGAUAAUAAUGAAGCUUUAAUAACGUUAUCAGUUUAAUAAGCUAUUUUCCAAUUUAGCUUCAGGAAGAAAACCUUUUUUCCUGCUUACUGAAAUCCUUAAGAGCUGCAGGGCGGGGGACUUUGGAUGGCACAUAAGAAUCGUGUUGUCCAAUCUCUUUGCUUUCGAGGUGAGUCAGCAUGGCUCUGGGAAAUGAAUGUCUUGCCAAGGUCGCCCCACUCACUGUUAGUGACCGAGCCAAGUUUCCCGGCUCCCAGUUCACGGCUGUGCUUACAACCCCAGGCUGCCUCCCGCUUACAUGUUGUACAACUUUAUAUCCUUGUAAUAACACUACAGUUUAUCCAAAACCAGACCUGCCCGUUACCACAGGAUGGUUUUGUAGGCAGCUUUUGAGACUGGUAAGGGAGCAGGAGUGGUGAGAGCCUUCGAAAGCUGCCAGGCACCAUGAUGCAGCUAUGUGGGCAGCCGGGCCCCCGCCCACACCAUCCCCCAAGCCAGCUGCCCGGAGAGGGGCUUUCUGCCAGCAGAGCAAACCCAUGAAAUGAGGACAAACCUGGCUCCUUCAAGCGAGUUUCUUUCUUCCCAAUUUCCUCCCCUGUAAAAUGGAGAAAAUGACUUCGUAGGGGUUUUGAAGUCCAAAAGACUCUUCAUUUUUUAGGUGGAAAAAAAAUACACACACCCUAUUGGUAUUGCUUGUAAUAACAGAAAAUCAGAACCACCCACCUCAGUCCCUCUCUGUGAGCGUGCUCUUUUGUUUUUACUAGAAUAAUUCCAAUGAAUUCUAUUUUUAUACCAUCAGAGCUAAUUAAUUAACUUGUUGAUAAAUCUAGAACUUGUCAGGAGCCUCAGCAUAGUAUCUUUACUUAUCAAUUGGUGUACUUGUUUAUUUAUUCAUUAACGUAAUUCUCUCCUUAUUUUUCUCCGUGAAAGCUCCUGGCUUGACUUGUUCCUUCAUGAGUUAGUGUGUUUGCUUAGAACUGGUAAUGCACACACAAGGCACGUGAUCUAAAAGCUGUGGAAGGCUGUACAGGGGAAACAGGCCAGCUUCUCUCCUCCCUCUCCCCCUCACCUAGGAGAGGAAACUGCUUUUUACCAGAUGAGAAUCUGUGUCCCUUUCCAGGAUGACCCAUAUGUUCACGAUCUUGUGUGUGCGACACAAAUGGCAAUAGACUAUACAUACGUUGCCCCACUGCUUCUCAGCGGGGGUCACCUUGUCUCCAAGUGACAUCGGACAGUGUCUGCAGACAUUUCCGGUUGUCCCAACUGGACCUACUGUUGGCAUCUGACGGGAAGAGACCAGGGAUGCUCCUCACCACCCUAGGAGGCACAGGAUGGCCCCACAACAAAGAAUGAUCCGCCCCUACGAGUCCAUAAUGCUGAGAUUAAGAAUAUCUUGAUCUUAUUAUUAUAAUUUUUACUUUUAAGCUACUUUGACUAUUGUUCCUCAAGCAAUGUAGCCACAGAUUUCCUUAGAAUGUAGAGAGAAGAAGGUUUCAAAGUUGCUGAAGAACAGGAGGUCGAUUUUGGUUUUGGACCCCCAGCUCCUGGCAGAGAGCGUGGUUGUCAGUGAGUAUGCUUUGAAUGCAUAGAUGAUUAAUUAACGAUGAGUCGGAGACGUUUAAAAUAAAGUAAUAAAAUGUACCGUAAGCUAUUCUUCCUUCAAACCUGAAAUUUCCAAUCAUCCUCAGCGUUGAUUAGAUUUUAACUGAAGUGCCACAAAGGAGGCGCAGCUUGGAAAUUCUUUGGACCCAAGGAAAACAACGUGGGUUCUGAAGGAAAUUUCCUCCUUUGGAAACCAAUGUUGGAGAAAUUAACUGCCUAAAAGAAGCCCCAGGUCCUUCACCUGUCCUCAUCUACAAAGAUAAGUUAUAAGUUAUUAAAAUAAACAGAAAGCUUGCCUGGCUUUUUAAACGAUGAGGCCAGCCAGCCUCCAUAACUGGCGUUAGAACCCACAUCACUGAGCGGGAUAGAAGGUGUUUCAACUCCAUCAAAAGCCUUGAAAAGGAGGACGUCCUUUGUAUUGGCUUUCAGGAAGUUUUUCUGGACUGCUAUUUAUUUUAAAUCAGCACCCCCUACAAAGCAAGCCCCCUUUAGGAAACGCAGUGCAGACAGCAACCCUAGAGAUGGGCUCUAUGAUUCCACACUGGACCGAGAUAUUAUUUUUAUAGAAAAAAUGGAUCUCUUUAAUCAGCUUUAAAAAAAAAAUUGUGAACAGUCACUUCUCUUAUUUAAAAGUUUAACUUUACUUUCAUCAAUUUAUAAUCAGAGUUCCUCUGGUAUGUUUGAUUCCUGACAAACAAGGAUAAAAGUCUUGUGCCCCCAUUGCUAAUGAGAUGAUAAAACAGCAGGGAUCAAGUUUUUAAUUACUGCAGGCGAUGCACUGGAGAGGUACCGAUGAUAUUUUCUAUUGCAUGUCUAAGUUGUAACUUCAGGCUUAUGACAGUCCUGCUGAGCUCCACUGCCUUUGAUGAUCACUCAUUUUUGUCUCCUGAGAACAUACAAAAAUUUCUGAGCUAGAAUCCUGGGGGGCUGGCAAUUAUUGGCGUAACCUGGUACAGGUACCCCUCUCCAACCAUCACGCUCAGUGAGGAUCCAGCUUCUUAAUGCCUGCCAUUAUCCCGAAAGGGAAAUUGGACAUUCAAAAUAUCUGUGAACUUUCCUACUCAAAUGAUACCCAUUCUCAGUCUCCCAGCAUGCGCCUUCCAUUAAUAAGAAAAUGCUUAAUUGAAUUGGGAGAUUUCUAGUAUAUACUUUUUCAUUUCUUUUCAAAGUCGUGCUUGAAAUUUUUUCAAAAACCUUAUUUUUAUACACUUUUGUAGAUGUGCAUUAUACUUCUCACUCUCAGCUGUUUAAACAUAUUUCUAACAAUAUUCUCUUUGUUACUGCAGACAGUUGAUAAUCGAAAUUUUUAAAGGUGCCAUUUCGGGUCAAGUGUGUGAAAUGUAAAGGUCAGACAUUCUUACCCUUAUUGAAAUGGAAGCUGGGAGCGGAUUCCAUUAAUUCUCAUGUUCGCAAGACACACACCCACACACACACACACACACACACACACACUGGAUGGCCAGAGCACUCAACAAAUAAGGCUUGCUCAAAAACCUGUGUUUAGCCAUAGAAACUAGAGCACAGAAUUAACCUGACUUGUGGAUGAUCACCAACCCAAUCUGAAUCCAACUAACCAGUUAUCAAUCAACUACCCAACUCAUCAAAUAACUAGCCAGCUUAUCAACCAAUUACCCAACUCGUUAAACAACUAAUUUUUGAUCAGUCAAGUAACUUCUAAGUUAUGAAGUAAGAAUUGAGUGUCAGAAUCACAAGCAUUGGCUGAGUCUACCAAGUGGUUUAAAUUUCUAAGAUUUUCGAUCAUAAACAUAAAAAUGCAUCCUCAGCUACUACAUUGGGGAAAGCCCAUGGAUGAAAAGAGAUUCGCUGAUCAAAAGGUAAAUGGACCUUUCUUGUCCACCCAUCCCUCAGAAUCUGAAUUUACAAUGCCCUUUAGGGAUUUCUAAUUUAUCAAUAUGACUUUUAUGGCCUUUAAAAAUAUCACACAUGUGAAAUGUGAAGACCGAUAUUUGUAGCUUAGUUUCUUCUUGGCAAAGGGGAGCAAAAAAUGUUUCAACUGUGUAAUUUAUAUAUAAUUCAGAAAACACAUUGCUUGUAUUAAUCAGGAUAGACCAAUUGCUGUAACAAACAGUGCACAACCUCAGCGGCCAAACACAGUAGAUGUUUAUUUCUUGUUCAUGGGAGUCCCUGUGGACGGGCCUGGUCGGGCAGUGCUCCCGGGCGGCUGUCCGUGGGGUCAGCUCCUCACAUCCAGUAGUGCUCCUAUCUUUUCCGACCACAGAGCGCGCCACUGGGCUCUCCACGUCUGGCCAGCAAAAGGGGAAAAGCCAGUUUGAAGACCUCCUGGGGCUUCAGGGUCCGUGGCCAGAAGAGCUGCUCUAGAGUGCCCACCUUCCAUUGGCCAGAAGGGGUCCAAGGCGUCACACAGACGCAAACGAGCCCAGGAAGAAAAUGAAUUGGUUUGGUAAACAAUUUUUGUGAAAAGUGCUGGUGGCAACCCACGAAAUGAACUUCCUGCCUCGCUGUGCGUCACAGGUGCAGCCGACGUGCGGAGGCUCACAGUCCAGGCCGCGCUCCCGGACGAGGGAGCGUUGAGUGACUUACAUCAAAGACAGGUCGGUGAAACCAGAUGCCAGCGUUCUUCCUCCAGCAGACCCGUGAGCAGGCAGGACCCACCUCACCGCCAGCCUGCACACAGCGCUCAGCAGAGCGCCCGGGCCUGGCCCCUGCAGGCCAUCCGUGCACCAGUGAGCCCUGCCUCUCCAGGGCCAGGGACUGCUAGGCCACGGCAGAACCCCGUGGCAGCUCACAGGGAGUAACCGUAACAUGGCCCCUUCCUGCAGGCCUCGGCUCUGGGCACCCUGCAAUUCCAGGUCACUGCGCCAGAGAGGAUGAGCACCCAGGCUGAGCUCACUACCUCCCUCCCUCCCUAAUGCCGACAGACCCUGAGACCUCAUUCAGUCCAGCCGUUACCACAGGGUCCGGCACAGAGAAAACAUCCAAGAAAUACCGUCAUCCAAGAGUCGCAUACCUGCUGGGUGUUACACGCUGCAUUAGGAACAACGGCAGCUCCGAACGAACAGAAAGCAGCAACGGACGACCUCGGGGAAACUGACCGUCUGUGGAGUUAGACAGGAGAGGCUCCCAAGCCACCUUUGAUUCCUUCCUGGACCACAGCCGUGGCCUCCCCUCCUGCCUGGGCUCCCGGCCUCCAGCUUUGCCCCCACACUCACUAUCUUCUCAGUGCAGCAGCCUUCGAUGUUCUCGCUCUCACUCAGUCAAUGCCAAAAUCCCUACCCAGCCACAAGGCCCUGCCGGGUCUCCCCUCAGAUGGGAGCACUACAGGCCCCUGCUCUCCCCACUCAACCCCGAGGCCUCCUUGCUGGUUCCAAACUCACUUCAGCCUGGAGGUCUUCGCACUUGCUUUUC